ensembl:lncRNA
CUGUCGGGGAGAGGGAGACGCAGCGCCGCACAGGAGCUCCUCUCCUCUCAACCUGCCCGUAUCUGCAGAGGGUUUCUCCAGCAGAAACCUCCGCUGAGAGCUUUUGAGGGAAAUGCAGCUUAGAAUAAAAAUAAUCUCCGAAAUUGUGCGGAGGACAACGACAGUUCGAGGCGAAGCUCUGUACCUGAAAAAAAAAAAAAAGAAAAGAAAAAAGUAGUGAAAUCUGAGAAACAUAAAUGAUUGAUAGCAUCUCAGGCUGAAGACUGCUGAAACGUGUCGAUGACAGCAGGUCGGAAAUGAGCGGCUUGUGAGAAAGAUAAUGAGAGCACCAUGUUUGGAGAUGUGAGCAUCACCUGUGCGGACCUGGCGCUGAAAACAAUCAUCAUACCAAAUGACAGAACAAUUAGCGUUGCCAGCAGAGAAAAUAGUAAGUGAACCAACCAAAGGCCAGUGUGUUUAUUUUCCCACUCAGAGACAUCGUCUUCCCAGGUGGGGACUCUGAAAACAUUCCUGCUGAAGCUGACACGGUUUUUACUUCAGUGAGGGACUGGUCUGUUCCAAGCAGGAAAUUAACCCAAACUUUAAGAGAAAGCAACACAAGCUGUACGUGGAGCGUGGGGACGUGCCACUGUACCAAUGUCCCCACACAGAGGCUAUUCUCUCUCUUUUGAGACUGUUUACUUUUCCUAACCGUUCUUUUUCCAGGCUGAACAUACAAAGCUGAUAAAACAGAGUGUCUGUAACGUUAGAAAAACUGCACGCUCUCAUAUUCUGCAAGAGGAGACUUACAAAUAGCACCACUCAACCAUUUAACCAAACUGCAAAAUGAACUCAGAGUCAUUACGCUAUCUAAACAUCCUCUCUAACUUGUCUGCAGUUUCCAAAUGCUGCUUUGGAUAAACUUAGUACUGCAAGUAA